rnacentral:rRNA from 1 species
ACAGCAGCAGCCGCGGUAAUACGUAGGUGGCAAGCGUUGUCCGGAAUUAUUGGGCGUAAAGGGCUCGCAGGCGGUUUCUUAAGUCUGAUGUGAAAGCCCCCGGCUCAACCGGGGAGGGUCAUUGGAAACUGGGAAACUUGAGUGCAGAAGAGGAGAGUGGAAUUCCACGUGUAGCGGUGAAAUGCGUAGAGAUGUGGAGGAACACCAGUGGCGAAGGCGACUCUCUGGUCUGUAACUGACGCUGAGGCACGAAAGCGUGGGGAGCAAACAGGAUUAGAGACCCGCGUAGUCCCUGUCUCUUAUAC